AUGCAGAAAGGCAAGAGAGAUAGUAGACUCAGCGCACUGCCUGACGACAUUUUGGUCAACAUUCUCGACCGACUCAAUGUCCGCGAUGCUGCAAGAACUAGCAUCCUCUCGAGACAGUGGACUCAACUCUGUGCCAAGCUGUCUCGGCUUAUAAUAAGUGCUCCACACUUCCUGCCCCACGGCGUGCGUUACACCGACAUCUCUGAUGAUGAAUUGGUUCGCAUCAACGUAGCGGCAGCUCAAGCGACAGAGAGCAUACUGACACACAGAAAUCCUGGAGAACACACCAUCCGCCUUCUGUCCACGACAUUCUACUUGAGAGAUGAUGUUCCCAUAUCCAUUGGACGUGCUGUUGGUCAUGCCAUGGUGACGCACUUGGUCGAGAAUGCCAAGUUCAGUGUCAUGACAGGGAAGUAUGACAUCAUGGACAUUGAUGAUGAUGACCUGGUCACCGGUGCGAGAAAAUUCAUGUCGUUCUUUGAUGCUUGUCCAAAUGCAUUUGGCGGCCUCACUGCUCUCGACCUAGAGAAUUUGAGAUUUGGUGAAUCAGACAUAUCCAAUGUUCUCAUCACUUGCAAGUGGUUAAAGCAUCUGCGUCUAUUCAACUGUGACUCUGGUGAUGAUGGCAGCGCGUUGCAAGUUGAACACGCCCAUCUCAGUGAGCUUAGUAUCGUCCAAUGUAAGCUUGCCAUAGUUGAGCUGAACUGGCUCUCUCAACUCACAAGGUUGUUCUUUGAAGGUUGGCUGCGGUACCAAGAUCCGCUGUUAAUUGGUCAUGUCCCAUUGCUAGAGGUUGUAAGCCUCGCAAAUAUUGCCCUUAGUUACAACAAGAUGGUGAAGUUAAGUGAGUUUCUUAGUGGUACCUCUAUACGUGUUCUGAAGUUGGGAUUUAAUUCUGAAAAGAUUUGGGUGCAGCCAGAAUGUCGGACGCAAUGUCUGGCAUCUGUUUUCUGCCAACUAAGGUUUGUGAAUCUGUUUCAUCUUCCUGAAGGGUACGAUCUCACCUGGACAAUGAAUGUUCUUGAAGCUGCGCCCUUACUGAAGGAGCUAUACAUGACGGUAUGGGAUCAUGUGUGUGAUAUGGAAAUGGACGAGGAGAAGAGGAAAGAAGGAUCAUAUAGUGAGAACAAGGGUGUAGAGUGGGACUCGACUGCAGCAGAUUUUCAACACCACAGCUUGGUUACACUUGUCAUUUUUGGCUUUGAAUCUGAAGAUUGCUUUGUGAGUUAUGUCAGACGUGUUCUGGUGGCGGCCGUCAAUCUAGAGGAUGUGUUCCUCUAUAGUACGUUGCAGUGUCGCAGUUGCCGGGACAUGAAGAAGCUUGUCAGGUACCCCUGGACUAAACGGCAGAGAAUCUCAUUGAAGAAGAGACUCACCACCGGGAUCGAGUCAUUUGCGAUAUUUCACUAUGGUGAGAUGAGGCCUGGUCAUCUAGCUAAAAGGGUGUACCCAAAGUGCUCAAUGCUUGAGGAAAAAAAGGUUUUUGUGUGA
rnacentral:rRNA from 1 species